rnacentral:rRNA from 1 species
AUGAAAACUUUAUGUUGGAACUAUCAACGGAUUGGUGAUCCCGCGACGGUUCAAGUGCUCCAUGAUCUCGUGGAGUUGAGUGGGUCAUUGAUUCUUUGUCUAGUUGAAACACAAAUGCCGAAGAGUUGAGUUGAAGGGCUGCAUCUUUCUUUAGGUUUUGAUUUCAGUUUUGGUGUAGGAAGUAGUGGCUGCAGUGGCGGUAUUUGUACUUUUUGGUAG